UACGAAGGGGGCUAGCGUUGCUCGGAAUUACUGGGCGUAAAGCGCACGUAGGCGGAUUGUUAAGUCGGGGGUGAAAUCCUGGAGCUCAACUCCAGAACUGCCUUCGAUACUGGCGAUCUCGAGUUCGGGAGAGGUGAGUGGAACUGCGAGUGUAGAGGUGAAAUUCGUAGAUAUUCGCAAGAACACCAGUGGCAAAGGCGGCUCACUGGCCCGAUACUGACGCUGAGGUGCGAAAGCGUGGGGAGCAAACAGG
rnacentral:rRNA from 1 species